GGCCUGGUGGUGUAGCGGUAACACACCUGCUUUACGUGUGCCUUCAGCAGUGUUAUGGCUGGAGAUCCUUGUUCGACUCAAGGUCAGGUCA